rnacentral:lncRNA from 1 species
CCCCUUAAUAUUUCAAAACCAUGCAUAAAUACUUGAAAUACAAAAUACGUAUUACAUGUCUUCAUAUUCAAAAUACAUGACUUCUCCCCCUUCAUCAUCAAAAUUACUAGAAAUUCAUGCGAAGAUCGAUAAUAUGUCAAUGGUUAAUCAAGAAACAUAUAAUAACCAAACAUCCAAUUAACCAUAAAAUGAUCAUGAACCAUCAAACCAUCAAAAGAAUGCUUAAAAUGCAUAUUAUCAUAAAUCAUAUUGUAUGCUCCCCCUAAAUAUAUGGCCAAUUAAAAAAUUUAACCAAAAUGAUAUUAUCCAAAAACAUGUGAUAUUUAUCUCCCCCUUCAUAAAAAAUAGAUAGAUGCAAUCGAAACAAGAGUAUAAAAAAUAAGUCGAUAUAGAUAUUACCAAUUUUGUGCGAGCAAAAUUUUCGGCAGAGUCUCCUCGUAAAAUGAAUAAAUCCUUAAAUAUACAACAUGGUUAAAAACACUUCCAUAUAAGCUUAAGCAAUUAUAACAAACCAACAACUCCAUCAAUUCUUCAAGCAACACAUAUGUAAUCAUCAAUCAUCAAAUUCAAUAUGAAUUCCCCCAACAUUUGUAACAAUUAUAUCCGAGGAUCCCAUAAACAUAUUCGAAUAAAACACCUUAACUAAAUUUUCAUAGUAUUGCUCCUUAAUAACUAAAACAUUUUUUUUAGCCCAUAGCAAUGAGAAAAUAACUAAGAGAUUUGUCACAAAUUUCUAAAUUCUUCAAAUUACGAAUGUUAACAAAAUAAGGAGUGAUAAUUGACCUCGACAUAAAAUUGUCGUAAAACCGUUUCCGAAGAGGUAGAUGCUGAAAGUGGGUUGAUAUGAACUCCGUAUUAUCUCCAUAAUCGUCCUUACAUCUCUUGGCAACUUGUUUGCUCAUGGAUUUAUCACCAUCCACCAUUGUUGGAACAAAAACAAGCUUAAAGAUCCAAUUUCGGGUUUACAAAAAUUGAGUGAAAUGGAUUUUGGGUUUUAUGUGGAGAGUUGAUGAAAUGAAGUUUUGAGAACGAAAAUUGAAGGAGUAAUGGAUGAAUAAUGAUUUGGAUGAUUGAUUUUGGCAAGAGAAUGAGUGAAAAAUGAAGAAAUUUGAGAGAGAAAUGGAGAGGUAUUGUUCACGCGUGAGAAAUGAUGAUGAAAUGAUGAAGAACAAGUGAAGAAAUAAUGAUUAGGAAGUGUUUAAUGAAGGUUAAAUGCAUGGGUAAUGGUUUAAGAGAUUGAUCUUGGCAUAAAAAUAGUUGAGAAAUGAAGAGAAAUUGAUUGGAAAUGGAAGAGAGUGGCUCACGGUUUUGAAGAGAGAAGAAACAAGUGCAGAAAAAUAACGAAGGAAUGAGAAGAAGUAAAAAAAAAA